GUGGAAAAAGUAAUCUUAACUUUAUUUCAAUAUGGUGUUGAUAAUUUUCAACUAAUCUUUCCGUUCUUUUAAUGUUACAAAGCAAUUCGAAGUUUCUACCAAUGUCUGUGAUUGGUCAUUCCAUUAUGGCGUCCUCCUAUUUAGACCAAUCAGAUUCAUCGUUGAAAGCUGUGUUGCACGGAGUGUGGUGGAGUGCAACAGUUCUCUUCGAAGCUUCGUCCGUUUGGUACGUGUCUGUAACAGGUAUCGGCCGGUACCGGAAUAUACCGAAAAAUGCCGAGCGAUGGCGACCGGUCUACGUCGGGAAGGAAGGUCUCGCCAUUUCUCUCGCGAACGUCGAAGUGGUAAGACGUGUUGAGAGCAUCCUUGCGCAUAAGUAGUAGAUACUUGAUGGAUAUUGAAAGGACGCCAUGCCACCUGAUAUAAGUUUGAAAUAGAAUUUCGUAAGAAUGUAUUGUUUUAAUUUAUUGUAAUCAAUUAUUAACAUUUAUUAUUACUUUUUUCAUUGAGUCGUUAUUAAUUGUAAGUAUUUUUGAUAAU